GGGCCCGCACAAGCGGUGGAGCAUGUGGUUUAAUUCGAUGAUAAGCGGAAAACCUUACCAGGGCUUGACAUAUAGCUGCAAAUCCGCCGAAAGGCGGACUCCUUCGAGGGUGCUAUACAGGUGCUGCAUGGUUGUCGUCAGCUCGUGCCGUGAGGUGUAGCCUUAAGUGGUUUAACGAGCGCAACCCUCAUUCUAUGUUAAUUUUCCAUAGAAAACUGCCUCGCUCAACGGGGAGGAAGGUGAGGAUGACGUCAAAUCAGCAUGGCUCUUACGCCCUGGGCGACACACGUGCUACAAUGGCCGGUACAAAGGGUUGCUAAAUCGCAAGAUGGAGCCAAUCCCAAUCAAAGCCGGUCUCAGUUCGGAUUGAGGUCUGAAAUUCGACCUCAUGAAGUUGGAAUCGCUAGUAACCGUGGAUCAGAAUGCCACGGUGAAUACGUUCUCGGGCCUU
rnacentral:rRNA from 1 species